rnacentral:tRNA from 13 species
AAGAGAGAGAAAGAGAAAGAGAAAGAGAAAGAAGAAGAAAAGGAUAAAGAAGAGUCAAAAAGAGCGAGAACUUAUUCUUCAAAAAAAUUUUAACAAACACUUCUCUGAGAAAAGAAAGAACUUUUUUUAUAUUUUUUUUCAAAAAAGAAAUCGUUUUCUUUGUUCUCUCCUUCUUCUCAGAGACC